AUUCAGGGGCUUGUUGAGGACAGAUGAAAUGAAUGUGGCUGUCAAAUCCGCCGUAGGUGACAAUCUUCUUCUCGGCGGCAAUGACAUCGGUGUUGGAGCCGACGACCAUGUUAGGAUCAACACCAUCCAUGAUAUCCGGGUUACCGGCUUUGCCAAUUCCUACGAUGAUGCCAUUUUUGACGCCGAUAUCAGCCUUGAAGAUACCAGUAUAGUCAACAAUCAAAGCAUUGGUAAAGACCAAGUCCAAGCAGUCGAUAUCUGAGCGUCCAGAGGCUUGACCCAUGCCAUCACGGAU
rnacentral:sRNA from 1 species